rnacentral:rRNA from 1 species
AUGGCUAAGAUCCGGGAGAGGAAGACGAGGGAUAUUGGCCAAGUCAAAUGCAUCAAGGAUGGAGCAGGCCAACUCUUGGUGAAGGACGAAGAGAUUAAGCAUAGAUGGCGGGAGUACUUCAACAAGCUGUUCAAUGGGGAGAAUGAGAGUUCUACCAUUGAACUGAAUGACUCCUUUGAUGAGACCAGCAUGCGUUUUGUGCGGCGCAUCCAGGAGUCUGAGGUGAAGGAGGCUUUAAAAAGGAUGAAAGGAGGCAAGGCAAUGGGCCCUGAUUGUAUCCCCAUUGAGGUGUGGAAAGGUCUCGGGGACAUAGAGAUAGUAUGGCUAACCAAGCUUUUCAACCUCAUUUUUCGGGCAAACAAGAUGCCAGAAGAAUGGAGACGGAGUAUAUUGGUACCAAUCUUCAAGAACAAGGGGGAUGUUCAGAGUUGUACUAAUUACCGUGGAAUUAAGCUGAUGAGCCAUACAAUGAAGCUGUGGGAGAGAGUCAUUGAGCACCGCUUAAGAAGAAUGACAAGCGUGACCAAAAAUCAGUUUGGUUUCAUGCUUGGGAGGUCGACCAUGGAAGCCAUUUUCUUGGUACGACAACUUAUGGAGAGAUAUAGGGAGCAUAAGAAGGACUUGCAUAUGGUGUUCAUUGACUUGGAGAAGGCCUAUGAUAAGAUACCACGGAAUGUCAUGUGGUGGGCCUUGGAGAAACACAAAGUCCCAGCAAAGUACAUUACCCUCAUCAAGGACAUGUACAAUAAUGUUGUGACAAGUGUUCGAACAAGUGAUGUCGACACCGAUGACUUCCCGAUUAAGAUAGGACUGCAUCAGGGGUCAGCUUUGAGCCCUUAUAUUUUUGCAUUGGUGAUGGAUGGGGUCACAAGGGGUAUACAAGGAGAUAUCCCAUGGUGUAUGCUCUUUGCGGAUGAUGUGGUGCUAGUUGACGAUAGUCGGACGGGGGUAAUUAAAUAG